GCCAGUGUAGCAUAGUGGUUCAAGUGUUGGAGUAUAACUCUGGAGACCAGGGUUCAAUUCCCAGCUUGGUUA